AAGCAUUUCCACCCUGGCUGUCACGUGCGUCAAAAAAACACCACUUUACAGCCUGUAAAUGCAACACAUGACUGCCAGCCACCAUAAAACCAUAAAAGAAGAAGAAGAGUGGCACCAUUUAUCAGCGUAGCUCAGGAAUCAAAUCACAGAGACAGAGACGUUUCCAGCAGCUGAAACUGCUUUAUUGACCUUCUGGAGGAUUCAGGAAGUCAGAUCUGAUCUCAGUCAACUUGAGCUCCUGUGAGCACUUGGAAGUAAAACGUGAGGGCCGGCUGAAACUGGAGAAGCUUAAGUGCUCAGAUGUUUCCACUGACUCAUUCUUUUGC